UACGAAGGGGGCUAGCGUUGUUCGGAAUUACUGGGCGUAAAGCGUGCGCAGGCGGCUUCUCAAGUCAGGGGUGAAAGCCCAGAGCUCAACUCUGGAAUUGCCUUUGAGACUGAGUGGCUUGAGUACGAGAGAGGUGAGUGGAAUUCCCAGUGUAGAGGUGAAAUUCGUAGAUAUUCGGAAGAACACCAGUGGCGAAGGCGGCUACCUGGACCGGUUCUGACGCUGAUGCGCGAAAGCGUGGGUAGCAAACAGG
rnacentral:rRNA from 1 species